GGGGAAUAUUGGACAAUGGGGGCAACCCUGAUCCAGCAAUGCCGCGUGUGUGAAGAAGGUCUUCGGAUUGUAAAGCACUUUCGACGGGGACGAUGAUGACGGUACCCGUAGAAGAAGCCCCGGCUAACUUCGUGCCAGCAGCCGCGGUAAUACGAAGGGGGCUAGCGUUGCUCGGAAUGACUGGGCGUAAAGGGCGUGUAGGCGGUUUACACAGUCAGAUGUGAAAUCCCCGGGCUUAACCUGGGAGCUGCAUUUGAUACGUGUAGACUAGAGUGUGAGAGAGGGUUGUGGAAUUCCCAGUGUAGAGGUGAAAUU
rnacentral:rRNA from 1 species